GCUGGGUGCAGUGGUGCUCUCCUGUAAUCCCAGCAGCUUGGGAGGCUGAGGCAGGAGGAUCACUAUUUCAAAGCCAGCCUCAGCAAUGGCAAGGCGCUAAGCAACUCAGUGAGACCCUGUCUCUA
rnacentral:sRNA from 1 species